GCGGAUGGCCGGACGGCCGCGGGCGGGCCUGAAAGGGCCGGUUCGAGGAAAGUCCGGACUCCAUGAGGCGACGGUGCCGGGUAACGCCCGGCCGGGGAAACCCGAGGGAAAGCGCCACAGAGAACAGACCGCCCCUGGUCUUCGGGCCUUGGGUAAGGGUGAAACGGUGGGGUAAGAGCCCACCGCGGGACUGGCAACAGGACCGGCACGGCAAGCCCCACCGGGAGCAAUGCCGAAUAGGGGCCUCGCGCGGGUGUGUGAUCGGGCAACCGAUAUCCCCGCAGGGACGUCUCAGCCCCGAGGCCCGGGUUGGCAGCACGAGCCCGUCGGUAACGACGGACCCAGAUGAAUGGCCGUCGAAGGGGGCAACCCCGGAACAGAAUCCGGCUUACAGGCCAUCCGCGCAG
rnacentral:RNase_P_RNA from 2 species